GAUGAACGCUGGCGGCGUGCCUAAUACAUGCAAGUCGAGCGAACAGACGAGGAGCUUGCUCCUCUGACGUUAGCGGCGGACGGGUGAGUAACACGUGGAUAACCUACCUAUAAGACUGGGAUAACUUCGGGAAACCGGAGCUAAUACCGGAUAAUAUAUUGAACCGCAUGGUUCAAUAGUGAAAGACGGUUUUGCUGUCAUUUAUAGAUGGAUCCGCGCCGCAUUAGCUAGUUGGUAAGGUAACGGCUUACCAAGGCAACGAUGCGUAGCCGACCUGAGAGGAUGAUCGGCCACACUGGAACUGAGACACGGUCCAGACUCCUACGGGAGGCAGCAGUAGGGAAUCUUCCGCAAUGGGCGAAAGCCUGACGGAGCAACGCCGCGUGAGUGAUGAAGGUCUUCGGAUCGUAAAACUCUGUUAUUAGGGAAGAACAAAUGUGUAAGUAACUAUGCACGUCUUGACGGUACCUAAUCAGAAAGCCACGGCUAACUACGUG
rnacentral:rRNA from 1 species